rnacentral:rRNA from 1 species
GUUUGAUCCUGGCUCAGGAUGAACGCUGGCGGCGUGCUUAACACAUGCAAGUCGAACGAGCCUUCGGGCUAGUGGCGGACGGGUGAGUAACGCGUGGGAAUCUGCCCUCAGGAGGGGGAUAACGGCCGGAAACGGCCGCUAAUACCCCAUAUGCCGAGAGGUGAAACGAAACUCGCCUGGGGAUGAGCCCGCGUCUGAUUAGCUAGUUGGUGUGGUUAUGGCGCACCAAGGCAUCGAUCAGUAGCUGGUCUGAGAGGAUGAUCAGCCACACUGGGACUGAGACACGGCCCAGACUCCUACGGGAGGCAGCAGUGGGGAAUUUUCCGCAAUGGGCGCAAGCCUGACGGAGCAACGCCGCGUGAGGGACGAAGGCCUCUGGGCUGUAAACCUCUUUUCUCAAGGAAGAAGACAUGACGGUACUUGAGGAAUAAGCCACGGCUAAUUCCGUGCCAGCAGCCGCGGUAAUACGGGAGUGGCAAGCGUUAUCCGGAUUUAUUGGGCGUAAAGCGUCCGCAGGCGGCCUUGAAAGUCUGUUGUUAAAGCGUGGAGCUCAACUCCAUUUCAGCAAUGGAAACUACAGGGCUAGAGUGUGGUAGGGGCAGAGGGAAUUCCCGGUGUAGCGGUGAAAUGCGUAGAUAUCGGGAAGAACACCAGUGGCGAAGGCGCUCUGCUGGGCCAUAACUGACGCCCAUGGACGAAAGCCAGGGGAGCGAAAGGGAUUAGAUACCCCUGUAGUCCUGGCCGUAAACGAUGAACACUAGGUGUCGGGAGAAUUAACCCUUUCGGUGUCGUAGCCAACGCGUUAAGUGUUCCGCCUGGGGAGUACGCACGCAAGUGUGAAACUCAAAGGAAUUGACGGGGGCCCGCACAAGCGGUGGAGUAUGUGGUUUAAUUCGAUGCAACGCGAAGAACCUUACCAGGGUUUGACAUCCUGCGAAUCCCUUGGAAACUUGGGAGUGCCUUCGGGAGCGCAGUGACAGGUGGUGCAUGGCUGUCGUCAGCUCGUGUCGUGAGAUGUUGGGUUAAGUCCCGCAACGAGCGCAACCCACGUCUUUAGUUGCCAGCAUUCAGUUGGGCACUCUAGAGAGACCGCCGGUGAUAAACCGGAGGAAGGUGUGGAUGACGUCAAGUCAUCAUGCCCCUUACAUCCUGGGCUACACACGUACUACAAUGCUACGGACAAAGGGCAGCAAACUCGCGGGAGCUAGCAAAUCCCAUAAACCGUGGCUCAGUUCAGAUCGUAGGCUGCAACUCGCCUACGUGAAGGAGGAAUCGCUAGUAAUCGCAGGUCAGCAUACUGCGGUGAAUACGUUCCCGGGCCUUGUACACACCGCCCGUCACACCAUGGAAGUUGGCCAUGCCCGAAGUCGUUACUCCAACCCGCAAGGGAGGAGGACGCCGAAGGUGGGGCUGAUGACUGGGUGAAGUCGUAACAAGGUA